UAGAUCGAGAGGGAGGGUGGAUAUCACUGGCCCUGUUUGACAUCCAGGAAACAGAGGCACCAGAGGUUAAGUGACUCGCAUUAGCUCACUCAACAGGACAAGGGGUGGAUCCAGGAAUAGCAUCCUGAUCUCCUGACUCUGAGUCUGGCCAGUUCUAUAUCCCAGGCCCCUCCAGCUUCCUCUGUCAGAUUAAAAAGGCCCUAAAAUAUGAACCAGGGCCCCUCAACUGCUCUUUGAAACCUAAAUCGGGCUCAUGCCAGCAGAACAGUUAAUAGCUGCUAUGACUCUUGGUGCGGAGGUAGAAAGGGAGGCCUUUCUUCAGAUCGAAGAGGACCACUAGCAGAAGCAUCCUGGCCCAGUUUCUGAUAGGGCCUAAUGAUGGUCCCUCUGAAAAUUCCCCCUUCCUCAAGUGGAGGCAAAAACCGAGAACUUCCCCCAGGACUUGACGCUGGUGGGAUCUCGUCUUGCCACUCGGGAUUCCCCCAAAGUAAAGCCCCCAAGGAGCCUUGCCUCGUCGAGUGUGCCACCCCCAACUAAGCCUUUGUGGAUGGGUUAUGUUUGGAGCUGAGAAUUCAAACGAGCCUGCUGCGACACUUCCCUCGCUAAAGAGGAAUCUGCCCUACAGACGGCAAAAGCUUUCAACUUCUAAAGAGUGGCACCCGAACA